UGAGAGUUUGAUCCUGGCUCAGGAUGAACGCUAGCGGCGUGGAUAAGGCAUGCAAGUCAUGGGGGUGCUGAUACUGAGCGCAAGCGAAGUAGAAGUAUCACCGGCAAACGGGUUAGUAACACGUAGAUACUUACCCCAAACACGGGCAUAGCUAAUCGAAAGAUUAGAUAAUUCCCGAUAGUCCCUGAGGCGUAAGCCGAAGGGUAAAGAAGCAAUUCGGUUUGGGAAAGGUCUGCGGCUUAUCAGCUUGUUGGUAGGGUAAUGGCCUACCAAGGCAAUGACGGGUCGGCGGAGCGAGAGCUUGUCCGCCAACAAGGGUACUGCGACACGGACCCUACUCCUACGGGAGGCUGCAGUCGAGAAUAUUGGGCAAUGGGGGAAACCCUGACCCAGCGACGCCGCGUGCAGGAAGAAGGUCUUAGGAUUGUAAACUGCUUUUAUCGUUGAGCAAGCCGCAAGGCUGAGUGUAAAUGAUGAAUAAGAGGGUGCUAACUCUGUGCCAGCAGCAGCGGUAAUACAGAGCCCUCAAGCGUUAUCCGGAUUUAUUGGGCGUAAAGAGCGUGUAGACGGAUCGUUAAGUUUUCUGUUAAAUCUUCAGGGCUUAACCUUGAAGCUGCAGAAAAAACUGGCGGACUAGAGGGCGCUAGGGGUUGAUAGAACGCUCGGUGUAGGGGUGAAAUCCGUUGAUAUCGAGCGGAAUACCAAAAGCGAAGGCAUUCAACUGGGGCGACCCUGACGUUGAGACGCGAAAGCGUGGGGAGCAAAAAGGAUUAGAUAAAUCCUUGUUCCGAUUUUUAUCGGAACUAAACGGUGUCCUCCGUAUUGGCAACAAUGCGGUGAGUAUCUAGCUGUAUCGGGGAAAUCCAUUUUAGUUUAAUGGGCGAUCCCGAGGGAAGUCGCGUCUUCUUAAGAUAGCGACCCCGUAGAGACUAUGUAAAUUAAAAAAUAGAAAAUGAUAAAAUCAUUUUUGUUAAGUAAGAGCAAAGAAAUCAUUCUAGGUUCUUUGCUCGGAGACGGUUCUUUGAGGAUUCAUAAAAACUAUAAAAAUGCUCGUUUUUCAUUCCGUCAUUCUAUUCAUCAGAAAGAUUAUUUUCUCUGGAAAGUAGCGCAAUUAAAGGAUAUUUCAGGAAAAAAUUGUUAUUGGAUGUCAAGGG
rnacentral:rRNA from 1 species